UGUCUCCAAAGAUUAAGCCAUGCAUGUCUCAGUACAAGCCGAAUUAAGGUGAAACCGCGAAAGGCUCAUUAAAUCAGUUAUGGUUCCUUAGAUCGUACCCACAUUUACUUGGAUAACUGUGGUAAUUCUAGAGCUAAUACAUGCAAACAGAGCUCCGACCGGAGACGGAAGGAGCGCUUUUAUUAGAUCAAAACCAAUCGGUGGCGAUUUCGGUCGUCAUCGUACAACUUGGUGACUCUGAAUAACUUUACGCUGAUCGCACGGUCUCGCACCGGCGACGCAUCUUUCAAAUGUCUGCCUUAUCAACUGUCGAUGGUAGGUUCUGCGCCUACCAUGGUUGUAACGGGUAACGGGGAAUCAGGGUUCGAUUCCGGAGAGGGAGCCUGAGAAACGGCUACCACAUCCAAGGAAGGCAGCAGGCGCGCAAAUUACCCACUCCCGGCACGGGGAGGUAGUGACGAAAAAUAACGAUACGGGACUCAUCCGAGGCCCCGUAAUCGGAAUGAGUACACUCUAAACCCUUUAACGAGGAUCAAUUGGAGGGCAAGUCUGGUGCCAGCAGCCGCGGUAAUUCCAGCUCCAAUAGCGUAUAUUAAAGUUGUUGCGGUUAAAAAGCUCGUAGUCGAAUCUGUGUCCCGCGCCGCCGGUUCAUCGUUCGCGGUGUUAACUGGCGUGUCGCGGGACGUCCUGCCGGUGGGCUUAGCUCGCGAGGGCGGCCCAACUCAAUCCCGCCGCGGUGCUCUUCAUUGAGUGUCGAGGUGGGCCGGCACGUUUACUUUGAACAAAUUAGAGUGCUUAAAGCAGGCUAAAACUUCGCCUGAAUACUGUGUGCAUGGAAUAAUGGAAUAGGACCUCGGUUCUAUUUUGUUGGUUUUCGGAACCCCGAGGUAAUGAUUAAUAGGAACGGAUGGGGGCAUUCGUAUUGCGACGUUAGAGGUGAAAUUCUUGGAUCGUCGCAGACGGAC
rnacentral:rRNA from 1 species